rnacentral:lncRNA from 1 species
GUCUGGCUCUGUCUGAGCUUGGAUUAGAGACACAGCCAUCCAGUGGGUCCGCGUCCCACAUCCUGGAGUUCCAUUAUGGAGUCACAAAGAGAAUGACAGGGCUUGGCAAAUACCAGGCCUGGUCACAGCACGGAUAAAUGACUUUUGGGAGGUACAUUACCGAGCAAUUAGGACCCAUUUAAUAAAUUACCCCCUUAUGGAACCCUUUGAACCCUAGUGGUCUGAAGAGGUUAAUGCACCUCUCACAACCGAGCGUUCCUCACUUUCCGGGGGAACUUCAAGGCCACAGUUAAUCCCAACCUUCUUCUCAUCAAUGGCCUCUUACUCUCGAGCCACUUCUGCAGUGGGGCAUCGCUGAGCCCCCACGCUUGCCCUCGCCUCGCGUGUCACACGCUCCGUUUUCUCACAGCUGCCUCCAUUGGACGCGCUGCUCACGACACCAGAAGACUGGAGGGAUUACUAAACCCACGGAAGCUGACCAUCAGUAAACAGUUAUUGAGUGCUCACUGUAUUUGGGUACAGUCUCCCAGAUAUACAGAACUCUUAAGAGGAAUUAACUUCUUCAAAAAAUCUAGAGAGUAACUCAGAAAGGAUUGACAUACAGAAAAAUCCAGCAAUAUUACCGCACUCUAAAUAAUUUGAACCUAGGUUGACUUCCAAAGUUGGUUUUGCAGACAGCUUCCCAAAUGGCACCGGCAUCAGACAUUACAGGACCUGAGCACAUCCUUGAACGGUACUGGACAGCUUCUCAGGAGCAACUGUGGGUGCUGGGGAAAUAAAAUGAAAGAUUUAAAG